rnacentral:tRNA from 1 species
GGGACUGUGGCUUAGUGGAAGAGUGCUUGCCUAGCAUGCAUGAAGCCCUGGGUUCAAUUCCUCAAUACCA